rnacentral:rRNA from 1 species
AGCGAACGCUGGCGGCAGGCCUAACACAUGCAAGUCGAACGCACCUUCGGGUGAAUGGCGGACGGGUGAGUAACACGUGGGAACGUACCUUUUGGUUCGGAAUAACGCAGGGAAACUUGUGCUAAUACCGAAUGUGCCCUUCGGGGAAAGGAUUUAUCGCCAUUAGAGCGGCCCGCGUUAGAUUAGCUAGUUGGUGAGGU